rnacentral:rRNA from 1 species
UACGGAGGGGGCUAGCGUUGUUCGGAAUUACUGGGCGUAAAGCGCACGUAGGCGGCUUUGUAAGUUAGAGGUGAAAGCCCGGGGCUCAACCCCGGAACUGCCUUUAAGACUGCAUCGCUUGAAUCCAGGAGAGGUGAGUGGAAUUCCGAGUGUAGAGGUGAAAUUCGUAGAUAUUCGGAAGAACACCAGUGGCGAAGGGCGGCUCACUGGACUGGUAUUGACG